AGACUAGAGACGAGUUCUUAGUGAAGCUACUUUCUUUCUAUCUUUGACCGCCAAAGAAAGUAGUAGUGCGCGUCGUGCUUAAAGUAAAAUUAAAGCUAUUGAUAGUUCCAAGUCAGUGUAGUGCUUCCAAACGGGAUUAUAUAGACAGUGGUAGCACGCCUACGAACGAAAACAUACCUACGUAUCCAUAAAAGAAAGUAUAUAACGACGAACAAAGCAGAAGAAAAGGUCCGUGCGGGCCUUUUCUUUUACGGUUCCCGGAGCGGAAGCUCGGAGACUGCUAUCGUUCACAGGACAAAGGAUCGACAGAGAGCCCAUCUCAAGCCAAGAACCGGCCGGUGGCCAGCAACACGUGCCCUCUACGCACACAAAGAUCACCGACGCCAUUUUGCCGAGUACCCACCGGUACAAAACGACUCAUCUGUCGAAUCCCAGAGUCAUCGUUAACCGCCACGCCGUGAACCCUUCCGACGCCGAAUACAGCGAAUCGAGCAGCGUUAACAGGUU